AAAAGCAGUGUUAAUGUUUGUAAUGCACCAUCUGUUGGAAUGGAAAAUGCAAUGUAUUUUAUUACUUCAAAUGUUUGUCAUGCGGCUUGUGUUGGAAUGACCAAGAUAUAGCAACCAGAUGGACACACAGACCCUUGUCCUUUUAUUAAGGUUGAUAUUGGCACCCUGAGUAAAAUGGGCUGUGGAAAAACUUUUUGUCCUCUUGAUGUUUCGUUCAAAAUAUAACAAAAAUCUUCCUUUUAACUAAAGCAAAAUAACUGAAUAUAAAAAGAAAUUCUCGUCAGAACACAUUUUUCUCAAAUAUAUGUGUGGCACAAUUAUUGGUACCCCCUCAUUUAAUAUUUUGUUCAGGCCCAUUUUGCCAAUAUAACAGCACAGAGCCUUCUCUUCUAACACAUAGCGAGAGAUAUGAGAUCAUUCCUCAUUCCUUCAUAUGAUGAGAAUUACUUUUCUUUCAUUUUUUUUUACUUCAAUAAAGGGUGCAUUUUUGUUAAUAGUUUAAAUGAAAGAUCAAGUUGAUAAACAACAACGACUUUUUAGAGCCCAUUUUGCAUUUACUUACCAAGGAUGCUAUAUAAGUGGAGGAUACCAUAUUAGUGAAAACGUAGCAGUGAGUGAUAAUAAAAUUAGACUACUUUGGCACAAUUUUAAGUUAAAAAAAAAAUAAAAGGACCAAUAGGAAUUGAGGAACGUCAUCACUGGUUUAAGGUCACAUGAGAAUUGGCUUUUCAAAAUGGAUACUUACAGGACUACAUUUGUGGCUUAAAUGCAGCCAGUCAUGAAAUUGCCACAGUUUGUUUAUUGAGUGCUUAGAGUGAUCCUGGGAUGUAAAAACAGAAAUAGUCUUUAUUAAGUAUAGUAAUUUAAAUAACAGAAAAAUUCCGGACAGGCAAACACUGGUUCAGAAGAUGACCAUUCGUUGGGAUUUCACAAAGGACUGCGAUGGCACCUCUGAUCCUCUUGACUCACUCCAUUUAACCAACAUGUUUGUUUAUUUCUGGUCCUGACAACUUCUUGAGUAUUACUGUAUAUUAAAUUAGAAAACCUAAAUAGAAACCUAUGUGUUAGGAGCAGGCCCCUUCCUGUGUGGUUCUUGAGAAGGAGUUCAGGCACAGCAGCUCCUACUCUCUGGGUUCAGACUUCCCUGUUGGAGCACAAAGAAUGGCCUCCAUCUGACGCACUCUAUGCUAGCAAAGCUGUGACUCUAGAGUGAGGAAUGGGAAAAAUUAGAAAUGCGGAGGCCGAACUCUUCAUAGCUUUUUGACGAGACAUUCUCUCAUGUUGACAUUGUUGCUGCAUAUUUCAUUAGGCAUUUUGUGGUGCUUUUUAAAAAGGACUUGGUUGAGUUUUGUUUUUGCACACCCCGAGGACAUCUGCAUGUUCUGACAGCAGUCGUGUUAAGACUGCCAAGCUUAGGUAGACGACGACAGCCAGAAUGAAACUAGCAGAUGCCUGGGCAGCAAUCUGAUCUUUGGUGCACAACUAUGACUUCCGCCACCUGUAUCGCUUGCAGGGACCCAAUUUAUACUGCUUUGAAUUGAGUAUCUUUGGGACUUUUCAUAAGUUUGCAGGACAAGGCGGGCAGAGCUGGCUGCUUGCCGCUACCUUGGCUUAUUUCUUUGUUGCUUGCCUGUAGUGAAGCAACAUUUCUUAAAACGGAUUACAUCAUUUGAAAGUCAUCCUUUUAUGUCCAUGACAUUUUGAGGUUGAACCCUGUAGCUCUUGACGACCGGUGGGAUAUGGAAGUGUUUUCUUGCCCGAUUUACCCUACCAACACACAUAAAGUUGCAUCUUUUUGUAGAAAUACUAUUCACCAGAUAUACAUGUAAUGGGAACUGUUAUUAUUGCAUAUACAGUAGUUGCCGAGAUUAUUAAUUGAAUUAUGGCAUCUUUUCAGUGAGAAGUGACUUGAAAUUAUUUUUCUUACCACCACAAUAUUUAAAGCAUCAACCCUGCCUUUCCAUACAUAGCCUUGUUACACUUUGAACCAAUGCACUCACUACUUGGACCCUUAAACAUGAUUCGAUAAUUGUUUUGCCACACAUAUUGGAUCAUUCGAUCUGUGAAUCAAGCUCUUAAGACAUUUUGCAUGUAAGGCAGUUGCUUGACCAUAAAAGCGUGAUGAAACACAAAACUCAUAAAUGCAAAGGAAUGGUCCAGAUAUUUUAUCCACUUCAUCAUUUAACAAAAAAGGUGAGUUCAGCUGUCAGAUUGUGUUUGGAGCAGAGUCAAUGUACUUUCUCCAGAAAUCAAAAUUGUUUAAAUGAAGAGUUAAAACCAAGUUGCUGUUACUGACUGGUGAUCCCCAUUGAAAUAAGCCAAGGAUGACUUGGAUCUCACUUGGGUCCAAUUUAUAAUUCUUGAUAAGCUUACCUGUUAACCCUCUGAGCACUUAUGUGCACUUUCAGCAAGAUGUACAAGCCUUCUUCCCAGCUAUACGAUUUACAAAUUGGAAAAGGCAUCACUGUGACACUUAGGGCAUUCACAUUCGUAAAUGCCUGUUUAAAAAAUAAAUUGUAAGAUGUUAUUAGUUGUGUAUUGGUCAACCCAGGAAGAUAAUUUCAUAUCUGAAAUUGACAUAGUUGCUAAACAGAAUCAUGCAGUUAUCUAGUUUGAAAUGAGCAAACAUAGACUCUUAAAUAAAAAAAAAUGAAAACUGUCAGGAAAAGGCAUUUCUAAUUAUUUAAGAGUAUAAAAAACAUGAACAAAUUAACGAAAAGGGAUUUAACUUGGUGUAAAGUGCACAGAUCAUAUCAGUGUGAGCAGGGGGUUAAUACUUGACUAAGGCCUGUGAAGGCCAGUAUAAGAGAGGUUUUUUUUGCACAUUGAUAUUUUUAAAUAUCAGUAUUUUAAUUAUUCUAAGUGCCUUCUAUUCUAGUUUAAUUUUAUGAUGAUAUACAAUAUAUAAAAGUAUAUAUAUUUUUUGGCUCCAGUAUUGAAGCCUUACGUAAAGAACUGUAGAGGUGUAUACGUCUUGGUACAACAGCUAUGUGUGCUCCUGUUUUAGACAAAAAGUGUCAAUGACAAAGUUUAAUAAAGUUGUAUUUGAUAAUUAUUCUGUACCUGUGUUCUUUCCUGAACCAAAAUGUAACUUAGGAAGUUAACAAUUAUUUUCUUUUCAUCUCAUUUGCUUAUAUCUGGUGAAGGAUGCAGUGCAAUCUCUCUGACUGUCUUUGACAGGAUGUGGGAAACUAAAAGAUUAUUUAAUCUCUCAAAAACAUUUUGGAUGUGCCCAGAAAACUUGUGAAUGACAACAAGUGGGCGUCUUUAUUGGGCUCAAUUUAAUAUUGGCUGCAUUACUCCACGUUUCUUACAUUGGGUAACGGUCUCACUUUUUACAAUUGAACCCACAAUUUUAUACUUUCAGGCUCCCACUCAUAGCUCAUAAUAUGGCUGGAUGGUAGACUGACAAGCAUCUUGUGUGAUUUGUACAACUCUCUAGCAAUCCUUUGGCUAGUCCCACAAGUCCCAACGUUUAAUCGAGAACAUGACACUGAAGUACUUGAAAUCCUUCACUGUAUCCCUCAGCAGAAAGCAAUUUUUUUCCAAUAUAGAAUCUCUAGAUUGGGACCCUAAACAACAUGAGGAAUGACUCGACAGAACAGCAUACGACUGUGUAUCAGCCUUAAUCGAGAAACAAGUAGGCAAAAGAACGUACUAAAGAUCCAGGAGAUGUGAAGCACUUCAGCAAACACACUCAAAUGAAGAACAUGACAUAGUCCGGCACAAUUUUAGGGCCUAACAAAGCAGCUCACGUUGCAAAAGGAGUUACAAUG